UUGUUAUAUAGGUAAACCAAGUAGAACAAAGAAGUUCCCUGUGACUGCAGGUUCCUGGACAAGUAAUGUUGUACCACCAGGUUAGUUUGUUAUAUUAGGUAAACCAAGUAGAACAAAGAAGUUCCCUGUGACUGCAGGUUCCUGGACAAGUAAUGUUGUACCACCAGGUUAGUUUGUUAUAUAGGUAAACCGAGUACAAACAGUGCCAGUAUCACUUGUGUAGCAUUCAAAUGGCCACUUUU